rnacentral:rRNA from 1 species
UACGUAGGGUGCAAGCGUUGUCCGGAAUUAUUGGGCGUAAAGAGCUCGUAGGCGGCUUGUCGCGUCGACUGUGAAAACCCGCGGCUUAACUGUGGGACUGCAGUCGAUACGGGCUAGCUAGAGUUCGGUAGGGGAGACUGGAAUUCCUGGUGUAGCGGUGAAAUGCGCAGAUAUCAGGAGGAACACCGGUGGCGAAGGCGGGUCUCUGGGCCGAUACUGACGCUGAGGAGCGAAAGCGUGGGGAGCGAACAGG